rnacentral:rRNA from 1 species
GCGGGAAAAGCUCAAAUUUAAAAUCUGGCGGUCUCUGGCCGUCCGAGUUGUAAUCUAGAGAAGUGCUACCCGCGCUGGACCGUGUACAAGUCUCCUGGAAUGGAGCGUCAUAGAGGGUGAGAAUCCCGUCUCUGACACGGACUACCAGGGCUUUGUGGUACGCUCUCAAAGAGUCGAGUUGUUUGGGAAUGCAGCUCAAAAUGGGUGGUAAAUUCCAUCUAAAGCUAAAUAUUGGCGAGAGACCGAUAGCGAACAAGUACCGUGAGGGAAAGAUGAAAAGAACUUUGGAAAGAGAGUUAAACAGUACGUGAAAUUGCUGAAAGGGAAACGCUUGAAGUCAGUCGCGUUGGCCGGGGAUCAGCCUCGCUUUUGCGUGGUGUACUUUCUGGUUGACGGGUCAGCAUCAAUUUUGACCGCUGGAAAAAGGCUUGGGGAAUGUGGCAGCUUCGGCUGUGUUAUAGCCCUUUGUCACAUACAGCGGUUGGGAUUGAGGAACUCAGCACGCCGCAAGGCCGGGUUUCGACCACGUUCGUGCUUAGGAUGCUGGCAUAAUGGCUUUAAGCGACCCGUCUUGAAACACGGACCAAGGAGUCUAACAUGCCUGCGAGUGUUUGGGUGGAAAACCCGAGCGCGUAAUGAAAGUGAAAGUUGAGAUCCCUGUCGUGGGGAGCAUCGACGCCCGGACCAGAACUUUUGGGACGGAUCCGCGGUAGAGCAUGUAUGUUGGGACCCGAAAGAUGGUGAACUAUGCCUGAAUAGGGUGAAGCCAGAGGAAACUCUGGUGGAGGCUCGUAGCGAUUCUGACGUGCAAAUCGAUCGUCAAAUUUGGGUAUAGGGGCGAAAGACUAAUCGA